CCGGCAAACGCGGUUCGCUCACUUCGCAGCUUUCGCCACUCUGGCCUUUUGCCGAUUUUCGGUUUAUCUCUAUCUCUGUGGGCAGGAAAAUCGGAAUCGAAUCGGCCCGGCCAUAUAAAAUAAAAGGCCAGACAGUGUCUGGGCUUUGGCACAGUCGUUCGUUUCGCACCAAAUGGGAGACAACAACGUAGGAGAAAAGAGAGUGAGCCACAAAAGAAAAAGAAAUAAUUCGCAGAAAAAUAGUUAACGCGCGUGUUGGUGUGCGUGUGUGUGUGAUGCGUUCGUGUGUGAGAGGCAAAGCCAAGGAAAAUGCAACGGAAGUUUUCAGUCGCAAAGAAGAAAGACAAAAAAUCGCAAAACGGAACUGAAACAUAUUGUGAAAUUCGAGCGACAGAGAAAGCGAUACAUCAACGUGGUUUCUGGAGCUUCUAGGUUUUUCUACCACCAGGAAUCAAAGAACGUGAAAGAACUCUUAAAAGAGAUGGCCGGAAAGAAGAACGAGGUUUAUUUUUAGCAUUUUGAUAUCACAAGGCAGCUUUUUUCGCUACACUACGAGAAAAAAAUGACGCAAAUGGUGACCACAUGAUUCUACAUAUUUCCAUAUAACCAACCCAUACAGACGUAGCUUUUUUUGGGGAACUUUUUGUCGCUCAAAUAUUAAUUUUAGAUUUUUUUUAACCCAGACAAAGCUCAUUGUGCGCGUGUGUGAGUGUAUUAUCGAAUUUUUAUGAGGAACUUCAAUUUUUCUUCAUUUUUUCGUCGCUCAGGGUUAAGGGCAACAACAAAAAACGAUGGCUUGGCUAGGAAAAAGCAUGUGCUGCAUUUUUGCUGAAUAAAAAAAAGAGAAGAGCGAGGAGACAACCACACAGGCAUACACAUACAAACAGACACAUACACAAGCGAAGACAGUCGGUUUUUGAGGUUAGGAAUGCCCCACCCAAGCAAUGGCUGCUCAUUUAUGUACUGCACAUAUAUACAAAAAUAUAUGUACAUAUAUAUAAAUCCGUCUGUACCGCAGAAAUUCGCCAUUAUUCACAGUCCAAAGCUGUUUGCGAUCGCAGGUUUAUGAGGCGUGUUGUAAAAAAAGAAGCCAGCCGAAAAGGUAGUUAAAAAAUACUUUUGCAAAAAUUUAAAUACCCACACAGCUUUGAGAGAAUUCGCGAAUGUAUGGUAGGCACGUGUGUGUCUCAGCUGAAUUGUGUGCCUGUGUGCGAGAGUGUGUGUGCGAUCACGCACGUAUAUGCGCGUUUCAAAUAUAGAAUAUCAAGGGUCUGCCGGACGAAGCGCAAGAAAAGAGAAUUUGCUGAAUGAAAUGUAAUAAUUCGCCGACGGAUGACGUCACGUCCUAUGUGGUCAUUAGCACUCCAGUGGCGCAACCAGGGGGCCAGUACUACGCUCCGAAAUAGUUGGUAAAACCCUUGACAAUCAAACCAAAUUAAUACACAAUUUUCAGCACUUGACGAAUGGAAGACUACUAAGUGAAAACCCCGCAAUUUGAAUCUAAAUACGCCCCUGGUUUCAGUUUUCUGCUCUCAUAUGACUAAUUUUGGCAUUGUUAUUGCAUAAAAUUCGCAUGGCGUCAUCAUCAUCAACGCGUACAACUACCAAGCUCACAAAGAUCGUUAACCCCAAAGCGACGGAGACCUAAUACCAGGCACAAGGUCGCCUCCCGUGACCCCCUCCCCAGAAGGGGGUCGACAUUCGCUGAUGCAGUUUUGUUGCCAGGCGGCGGCCAAACAUCUGUCUCAGAACUGCAAAUGCUGAAAAAGAAACCUGACUGGGCUUGGUCUGGCCUGGCUUUAUAUCUACAUCUUCAACUCCAGCCGCAGCUCCUACUCGUUAUAUAUGAUGAUGUUCCCCCGACUGAAAAGUCUCCUACCUUGCGCGCUAAUCAGUGACCGGGGCUGGUUUUUUAUAUACAGUCAGGUACCUGAAGUAGCGCGCGUGGUGGCAGACAUAUAUCUCCAUCUUCGCCAUAUAAAUAAGCCAAAUGCUCGCAGGCGAGUCCUCGCCAGAAAUCCCAUGUGUAUCAACUGUCUCCCAUGUCUA